CUUUGAUCACCAGAGAUCAAAAAGGGGAAUAAUGGGAUAUGUUUUUGCUGUUUGAUUGUAAAUAACUAAACAAGGAUGUAAUCACGCUAAUGCCUUGGUUUAUUUCCAUAAAUGACUUCCCCUUCAAGAUCCUAUCGGAAGGGCCCCCAGAAAAAGGGACUUAUCCAGACUGAGUAGAUCCAACAUCCAGGCACCUGCUCGAUCCUGGGUUUGAUUAUGUGCUGUUGAUUAUGUGAUGUUGCUGAUGUUUUGAUAUCCUUCCCUGCCAAAAAAAUCCAGCAUAGACGACAAAGUUGAC